GAUGAAGAACGUAGCGAAAUGCGAUAAGUAAUGUGAAUUGCAGAAUUCAGUGAAUCAUCGAAUCUUUGAACGCAUCUUGCGCUCCUUGGUAUUCUGAGGAGCAUGCCUGUUUGAGUGUCAUUAAAUUCUCAACUACACUGACUUUGAAUUGGUGUGGCUUGGAUUUGGGGGGAAAAUUGUUGUGGGCUUUUUGUAUAGUCUGCUCCCCUGAAAUUGAUUAGCGGUACCUUUGUGGAACUGUCUACAGGUGUGAUAAUUAUCUACAUCUUAGACAUCUACUGGAAUGCUGCUUUCUAAACCUUACUUGUAUUGACAAUCUUGACCUCAAAUCAGGUAGGACUACCCGCUGAACUUAAGCAUAUCAAUAAGAGGAGGA
rnacentral:misc_RNA from 1 species